rnacentral:rRNA from 1 species
GGACGAACGCUGGCGGCGUGCCUAAUACAUGCAAGUCGAGCGGACCUUGGGUUUCCUUCGGGAAACGUCUUGGUUAGCGGCGAACGGGUGAGUAACACGUAGGCAACCUGCCCGCAAGACCGGGAUAACAUUCGGAAACGAAUGCUAAGACCGGAUACGCAGCCUGCUCGCAUGAGCGAGGCUGGGAAAGACGGAGCAAUCUGUCACUUGCGGAUGGGCCUGCGGCGCAUUAGCUAGUUGGUGGGGUAAAGGCCUACCAAGGCGACGAUGCGUAGCCGACCUGAGAGGGUGACCGGCCACACUGGGACUGAGACACGGCCCAGACUCCUACGGGAGGCAGCAGUAGGGAAUCUUCCACAAUGGGCGCAAGCCUGAUGGAGCAACGCCGCGUGAGUGAGGAAGGCUUUCGGGUCGUAAAGCUCUGUUGCCAGGGAAGAAUAAGGAUGUGUUAACUGCACAUUCGAUGACGGUACCUGAGAAGAAAGCCCCGGCUAACUAC